GAAGCUUGCUUCUCGCUGACGAGCGGCGGACGGGUGAGUAAUACUUAGGAAUCUACCUAGUAGUGGGGGAUAGCUCGGGGAAACUCGAAUUAAUACCGCAUACGACCUACGGGAGAAAGGGGGCAACUUGUUGCUCUCGCUAUUAGAUGAGCCUAAGUCGGAUUAGCUAGAUGGUGGGGUAAAGGCCUACCAUGGCGACGAUCUGUAGCUGGUCUGAGAGGAUGAUCAGCCACACCGGGACUGAGACACGGCCCGGACUCCUACGGGAGGCAGCAGUGGGGAAUAUUGGACAAUGGGGGCAACCCUGAUCCAGCCAUGCCGCGUGUGUGAAGAAGGCCUUUUGGUUGUAAAGCACUUUAAGCAGUGAAGAAGACUCCAUGGUUAAUACCCAUGGACGAUGACAUUAGCUGCAGAAUAAGCACCGGCUAACUCUGUGCCAGCAGCCGCGGUAAUACAGAGGGUGCAAGCGUUAAUCGGAAUUACUGGGCGUAAAGCGAGCGUAGGUGGCUUGAUAAGUCAGAUGUGAAAGCCCCGGGCUUAACCUGGGAACGGCAUCUGAUACUGUUAGGCUAGAGUAGGUGAGAGGAAGGUAGAAUUCCAGGUGUAGCGGUGAAAUGCGUAGAGAUCUGGAGGAAUACCGAUGGCGAAGGCAGCCUUCUGGCAUCAUACUGACACUGAGGUUCGAAAGCGUGGGUAGCAAACAGGAUUAGAUACCCUGGUAGUCCACGCCGUAAACGAUGUCUACUAGUCGUUGGGUCCCUUGAGGACUUAGUGACGCAGCUAACGCAAUAAGUAGACCGCCUGGGGAGUACGGCCGCAAGGUUAAAACUCAAAUGAAUUGACGGGGGCCCGCACAAGCGGUGGAGCAUGUGGUUUAAUUCGAUGCAACGCGAAGAACCUUACCUGGUCUUGACAUAUCU
rnacentral:rRNA from 1 species